rnacentral:rRNA from 1 species
GAUAAACGCUGGCGGCGCACAUAAGACAUGCAAGUCGAACGGACUUAACCGAAAUGUUUACAUUUUGGAGCGGUUAGUGGCGGACUGGUGAGUAACACGUAAGCAACCUGCCUAUCAGAGGGGAAUAACAGUGAGAAAUCAUUGCUAAUACCGCAUAUGCUGUGUAGUAUCGCAUGAUACAAACAGGAAAGGAGCAAUCCGCUGAUAGAUGGGCUUGCGUCUGAUUAGAUAGUUGGUGGGGUAACGGCCUACCAAGUCGACGAUCAGUAGCCGGACUGAGAGGUUGAACGGCCACAUUGGGACUGAGAUACGGCCCAG